AUUGAACGCUGGCGGCAUGCCUUACACAUGCAAGUCGAACGGUAACAGGUCUUCGGAUGCUGACGAGUGGCGAACGGGUGAGUAAUACAUCGGAACGUGCCUAGUAGUGGGGGAUAACUACUCGAAAGAGUGGCUAAUACCGCAUGAGAUCUACGGAUGAAAGCAGGGGAUCGCAAGACCUUGUGCUACUAGAGCGGCCGAUGGCAGAUUAGGUAGUUGGUGGGAUAAAAGCUUACCAAGCCGACGAUCUGUAGCUGGCCUGAGAGGACGAUCAGCCACACUGGGACUGAGACACGGCCCAGACUCCUACGGGAGGCAGCAGUGGGGAAUUUUGGACAAUGGGCGCAAGCCUGAUCCAGCAAUGCCGCGUGCAGGAUGAAGGCCUUCGGGUUGUAAACUGCUUUUGUACGGAACGAAAAGCCCUGGGUUAAUACCCUGGGGUCAUGACGGUACCGUAAGAAUAAGCACCGGCUAACUACGUGCCAGCCGCCGCAGUAAGAC
rnacentral:rRNA from 1 species